UUUCUUACUUGGCAGCAGAGAUACGUGAUGAAGAAGGCGGUUCGCCCAGGUUGACCCAUGCGAAUUCCCCAAAUCUGGGAACCUUGACUGCAUUAUAUCUGGUAGUAUGGGACUGAUUUUGGGAAUCCGGA
ensembl:snRNA U1 U1 spliceosomal RNA